UACGGGGGGGGCAAGCGUUGUUCGGAAUUACUGGGCGUAAAGGGCUCGUAGGUGGCCAACUAAGUCAGACGUGAAAUCCCUCGGCUUAACCGGGGAACUGCGUCUGAUACUGGAUGGCUUGAGGUUGGGAGAGGGAUGCGGAAUUCCAGGUGUAGCGGUGAAAUGCGUAGAUAUCUGGAGGAACACCCGUGGCGAAGGCGGCUCUCUGGGACGGUACUGACGCUGAGACGCGAAAGCGUGGGGAGCGAACAGG
rnacentral:rRNA from 1 species